rnacentral:tRNA from 1 species
GGAAUAGCUCAAUGGUAGAGUUCAUGCUUGGCAUGUAUGAAGCCAUGGGUUCAAUCCCCACCAGAUCCA